rnacentral:miRNA from 1 species
UCUUAGGUUGGUGCAAAAGUAAUUGCGGUUUUUGCCAUUGAAAGUAAUGGCCAAUAAUAUUAUGUGAUAAAGGCCAGUAGUAUUAUGUGAUUACUUCUAAUAAAAUGUUCUCAC